AGAGUUUGAUCCUGGCUCAGGAUGAACGCUGGCGGCGUGCCUAACACAUGCAAGUCGAGCGGUCUGAUAAAAUGGAUUCCUUCGGGAAGAAGCUUUAGAAAGAUAGCGGCGGACGGGUGAGUAACGCGUGGGUAACCUACCUUGUACAGUGGAAUAACAGUCGGAAACGAUUGCUAAUACCGCAUAACACUAUUUUAAGGCAUCUUAGAAUAGUCAAAGAUUUAUCGGUACAAGAUGGGCCCGCGUCUGAUUAGCUAGUUGGUGGGGUAAAAGCCUACCAAGGCGACGAUCAGUAGCCGGCCUGAGAGGGUGACCGGCCACACUGGAACUGAGACACGGUCCAGACUCCUACGGGAGGCAGCAGUGGGGGAUAUUGCACAAUGGGGGAAACCCUGAUGCAGCGACGCCGCGUGAGCGAUGAAGGCCUUCGGGUCGUAAAGCUCUGUUUCGAGGGAAGAUAAUGACGGUACCUCGGGAGAAAGCCCCGGCUAANUACGUGCCAGCAGCCGCGGUAAUUC
rnacentral:rRNA from 1 species